rnacentral:misc_RNA from 1 species
GAUGAAGAACGCAGCGAAAUGCGAUAAGUAAUGUGAAUUGCAGAAUUCAGUGAAUCAUCGAAUCUUUGAACGCACAUUGCGCCCGCCAGCACUCUGGCGGGCAUGCCUGUUCGAGCGUCAUUUCAACCAUCAAGCCCCCAGGGGCUUGUGCUGGGGCCCUGCGGCUGCCCGCAGGCCCUGAAAACCAGUGGCGGGCUCGCUAGUCACACCGAGCGCAGUAGCACAUCUCGCUCAGGGCGUGCGGCGGACUCCUGCCGUGAAACCCCCCACUGUAACCCCAAAGGUUGACCUCGGAUCAGGUAGGAAUACCCGCUGAACUUAAGCAUAUCAAUAAGCGGAGGA